rnacentral:rRNA from 1 species
UACAGAGGGUGCAAACGUUGCUCGGAAUUAUUGGGCGUAAAGCGCACGUAGGCGGUUUGGUAAGUUGGAUGUGAAAACCCCGGGCUUAACCCUGGAAGUGCAUCCAAGACUGCCAAGCUAGAGUGUCGGAGGGGGUCGGAGAAUUCCCGGUGUAGAGGUGAAAUUCGUAGAUAUCGGGAGGAACAUCUGUGGCGAAGGCGCCGACCUGGACGACAACUGACGCUGAGGUGCGAAAGCAUGGGGAGCAAACAGG